AUCUGGAUGGCCCAGUGGUCAGAGCAACUGCCUAGUAAGCAGGAGACCUGGGUUCAAAUCCCAGUCCGGCACA